AGGAGAAGGCAAAGAAGCAGAGAGGGUUUAGUGGUGGUGGGUUGUCGAGAAAUUUCCGAAAGGCCAAGCAGGUGGUCCUGCGUCCGUUUGGAAGAUCCAAAAAGCAGCUUCCCAGAAAAGCCAAGCCAAGGGCUUCUGCUUCUGGAUCUUCCUAUUUUGCGUCGUCUUGUGCUUUUUCUUCAGGUAAGAGGUUUGGAGGAGAUGGCGGUAAUGGUGGUGGUAAUAAGGGUUGUUACUUUUGUUUCACGCAAUCCCCAACUCUGGAUUCCCCAAUGGGGUCUCAGACCAGUGACCCUGAGCACCCAAAUUUUACUUUUGGGAUGUUGAGAGCUUUUGUUGAGAGCAAUGAAUUUUAUUCCAAAGAUUGCAAUCCCCACUUAGAUAUUAAUGUUUCCUCAUAUAAAAUGGAUUGAAUUUGAAGGAUAUUAUUAUCAAUUUCUGCACUUUUUUGGUGUUUUUGUUGUGUGGAAGUGAUGAUCGUUAAGAAUUUUCUAGAAAUGAAUCGGGGAAGAUGUCGAAUUUUGAUACCGAUGGCAAGGGUGUUUGGAUUUUUUGAAAUUAAAUGCCUUUUGAUCUCGGUGUCAUGAUAGUUUCCGUGCUUUUUGACGGUUUUGAUGGUGCACAUUGGUUUUAAGAAUAUAUGCUUUUAGGACAGCAUCUAGGCAGCAGAUGGAGAAACCAAGCUUUGAUUUGAUUUCAAGAACAUAUUCUUCUCUUUUUAUCGCGUGAUUACAAAUCUAAGCCCAUAGUACAAAUGGAAACCACAUUCGUCUUGCAUCGCUUCCUGAAGAAAUGGGGUGUACAUUUGAAAGACGAGUGUAUUUUGAUCAACUGUAGGAGUGGAAGAGGUCAAAUUCUUUGAAUUUGUAAUUUUUCGUUCGUACAUUGUGUUUUUAUAUAGUACUUUUUUUCUUUUCUUCUGAUAUUGUGUAGAUUGUAGAAUGUAAAGUUUAAAACUUUGUCAAUCCAAUGACUGAGUCCGGGGGCGCCUCAUUUACCGCGUCUUGGAUGAGAUAUUGCGGUCAUGCUGUUGAGCAUCUACGGAGGAGCUUAUGGAUACAAUUUGUUUGAUGCAUCACUAGAUUUUCAGUCCUUAAGCUCAAGAGAGCAGGAUUAAGUUGUGUUUUCUGGUGUUGGUUAUGAUGGAUGAACGAUAUCAAUUGCUUUUGUUGGCCAGCAUCAAGAAACUACCUAGGUUAUAAAUUCCAAUACUCUUUCAAUCGGAGGCGGUGGAAGCCAUGGCAGCCCUUCAACCCCCGGUCCCAAUACGACGUAUAAGAAGUAGGUGCUCAUGCUGCUGUAAACGGUACAAAUGGACUGAUGAUAGAGAAAUUGCUCUCUUCUAAGGCAUGAUGGAGGUGCAAUCAACCUGUAAGUUACGGGCGGGGGUGAUGCCAGCGGCAAUGGCAGUGACGGUGGGGGCAUGGUGAAUUGGUGACCGUGGCAAGGUGGUGAGGGUGGUUGUGAGAAUAUAUAUUGUUGUGAUUUUUUUCCUAAGCCUCCUACUGUCUUGGGAUUUUUAGAAAUGACACUACUUAGAUGAAGCUUAAAAUUCAGGAUUCAUGACCUCCAGAUUGCAUGGAUUUUUUACUCACAUUGGAUUUUAAAUUUUAUGUUUAUAAACCCGAACAAGGAAAUUAGUACA